rnacentral:rRNA from 1 species
GACAGAGGGUGCAAACGUUGUUCGGAAUUACUGGGCGUAAAGCGCGUGUAGGCGGCUAAGUAAGUCGGGCGUGAAAUCCCACGGCUCAACCGUGGAAGUGCACUCGAAACUGCAUAGCUAGAGUCCUGGAGAGGAAGGUGGAAUGCUUGGUGUAGAGGUGAAAUUCGUAGAUAUCAAGCGGAACACCGGUGGCGAAGGCGGCCUUCUGGACAGUGACUGACGCUGAGACGCGAAAGCGUGGGGAGCAAACAGGAUUAAGAAACCCCAGUAACGUC